rnacentral:sRNA from 1 species
AGUUCGCUUCGCUCGUGUGCAGUGAAAUCCUUUUGCGCCGGUGUUCGGCACAAAAGAUUGGAACGAAUAGCGGGAAUAGCU